GGAACUUAAGAGAGCUUAACGGGAGGCUCACUCAUCUUGGAAACAACAAUCUAGAAUGUCCUGGUUCUGAAAGUGGAUCAGUUAGGUUUCUUUCAUGCUACAUGAAUGGGCUUUUAUGCAGAGACAACAGAUUUCCAGUACAAAAGACAGGAUUCAUGCUGCUUCCUUUUUUUCCACUGUCCCAGGAAAAGAGCUAUGACGAUGGCCACUCGCGGGAAUUAAGUGAGGU